rnacentral:lncRNA from 10 species
CACUCCAGGAUUACUGACAUGAGGAAGCUGUUACAACCUCAAAUCCUAUGAGAGCAGUUUUCAAAAGCCAGAGUGUGAGAGCUGAAAGGGACUGCCAUCUCACAGAAGCAAGGGGCUUCAGAAGAAGGAGACAGGGAAACCCCAGCGCCCUGGCAUACAGGAGACCAGUGGGUAAAACCCGGCCCUCACUCUUUUCCUGCCAGUGCCUCCCAUUGCCCAAACCCAGUGGACACCAGGACUCAAGGGAGCUGCUGAUAUACCAUGUAGGUCAGCCUCCUGCGACAGAGCAGAGUGGAGAAGGCUGAGGAGGCACAAGACAGCUGCCCAUAGGGAAGUCUGAAGAACUGGCUAUCAGUUUGGAUGACAGGCUGGGAUGGCAAAUGGAUGAAAUGAUGAACUGAGUUAAACGGGAUCCCUCGAGUUAACUUUUGAUACUCAAAAUGCCAAAUGCAAAAGCCUCAGGCCAGAGUUGGCUUUUAAGGAAUGAGUACCAGUUGGCCAGGCAGAGGGAGCAAAAGCGAGAGAAGCACAUCCCAGCUGGAGGACCCAGCAAGAGCAAAGGAAUGCAGCCUGAUUUAUGGAGCAGUGCCGUCUCCUGGAUGAUAUGGAGACACUGUGAAUGAAAGAGCUGUGGAAAACCUUAAUCCCCAAGUGGCAGAAAGAGAUACUCUCAUGGCCAGUGUGUGUUUGAUCACAUCCAUCAGAGCCAAACACCCCACCCACUCUGAGGUGCAGACCUCAGUCCUCCAGAUGACCCUGGGAGAGAUCAGCCCACGAUUUUUCCUCAGAAAGCUGCUGGGACAAAAGGAAAGGGUCAGACCCCAGGACUUUCUGAUGAGCAAGAGAAAAUGGGACAACUCCAAGACGGUUAGAGGGAUCUGGCCACCUCCAGGAAGAUGAUAAAAAUCGUAGGAGGAAAGAAAAACCAAAACCAUGUGUUGGGAACGAGAAGUGGAAAAGGUGAAUUCCACAAAGAAGCAUGAAAAGGACUGCAGGGAGACCACAUGCGUGGCUCAGCACUGCACAACGGUAGCCUGAACUGGGAUUUUCCAAAGAUUGUAACCACGAGGAGGGUGAAGGUAGUAACAACAGUCAUAAUAAUAGCUGAUAUUUACAUAGCACUUCCUAUCAGCCAGAUAAUGUUCUGAGAGCUUUACAUUGGUAUAAAUUUAUUUAUAUGGAUGAACCCUUAGUAGUU